ensembl:lncRNA
UCUCUUUCUGGAGAUCUCUCUUUAGUGAAGCUUUCCCUUGUGAACCUGGAGUCUUCUGAUAUGGGCAAUUGAUGCUGAUGGUUGGUUUGUGGUGGUUCAGGAGUCAGUCACUGUGGCUGCGGAGACACUAAAGGUGUUACUGGAGCCAUUGUACGGAUGGAUGUCCUGUUGGUGUAGGAGGGACCUACUUGGCCAGAAAAUGCCCAAGGUUGCCUCUACCUCCUGUGUGCCCUGCCUUCAGCUUCCCCACGCAUCUCCCUUCUGAGGCCCUGGAGGCCGGCCAUCCCUUGACUGAAAUGUAUUCCCAGAGUGAAGAACUCAAAGGAGAUUUGUUUUGCAGAGCUUUCCUUUGCUCAGCGUGCAGUUUCAUUUCUGAUCAUGUUCCCAAUGUUCCCUCUGAUGAAUUGUAGCGCUUUGCUAGAAUGUAACUUGCUGUUUUGCUGAGUACCUAGUGCUGAAGGAAAGGUCUGGAACUGGGAGAUCCAGGAGUAUAAUGUCCUUUAUCAGGAGGACAAGCAGCCUCCAAGCUGGGAAUCACACAGCAUGGAAAGACCUGCUUUUAAAGGCCUGGUACGUCAAAAGCCAAUGCUGGCUAUUGGGCUGGGGGCUCCCAAGUCACCUGUAAGCCAAGGAACCAUCAGUCACAAGACACAGCAGACUGAUGCUCCAUCCCUGGAGGUGUUCAGGACCGGGUAGGAUAGGGCCCUGGGCAGCUUGAACUAGUGCCUGAUUUAGUGGUUGGCUACACUAUCUGUAGCACAGGGUUGGAACUAGAUGACCUUGGAGGUCCCUUCUAACCCAAGCUAUUCUGUGAUUCCCAAACAAACAUUCAGAAAUAUUAGUUUAUUUUCUGGAAAACAAAGAAAAUAUAGGAUAGCAACCACCAUCAGUCCCACCAACAGUAAUGCACCUUGCACUUGCUUGGUUUCUUUUUUUCCUGAGAAUAAGGAAGCUCUUCUGGCACAUGGCAGCACUGUGCCACCAUCCUGGUCUCCUGCUCUCACCUUUUGAAUAACUGUAUCUCAGUACUUGCAGGGGAUUGUAGUGAGGUUUUGGUGAUGGUCCUGGGGAUGGUCCAGUGGUUAUGAGCUGUCACAAGACAUGUCACCCACAUGUUAUGAGGUUGUGAGGUGUCGCCCACAGCAGCAAGCAGUGUACAAGGCUGCUGGGUGAGGAUGAUGAUACCACUGAUCUCACCGUCUCCCAG